CCCUUAGAUGUUCUGGGCCGCACGCGUGCUACACUGAGUGGAUCAGCGGGUCAGGUUGCGCGAAAGCGUUCCCUAAUCUUUAAAUCCGCUCGUGAUGGGGAUUGACGGUUGCAAUUUUCUGUCAUGAACGAGGAAUACCUUGUAAGCGCGGGUCAUCAUCCCGCGCUGAAUACGUCCCUGCCCUUUGUACACACCGCUCGUCGCUCCUACCGAUUGAGUGGUCCGGUGAGGCUUUGGGAUCUGAGCGGAAAGAGCGUUUCGCUGUUUCUGCUCGGAAAACUCAGUCGAACCUUAUCAUUUAGAGGAAGGGGAAGUCGUAACA
rnacentral:rRNA from 1 species